rnacentral:rRNA from 1 species
UACGUAGGGGGCAAGCGUUGUCCGGAAUCAUUGGGCGUAAAGCGCGCGUAGGCGGCCCGGUAAGUCCGCUCUGAAAGUCCAGGGCUCAACCCUGGAAAGCGGGUGGAUACUGCCGGGCUAGAAUCCGGAAGAGGCGAGUGGAAUUCCUGGUGUAGCGGUGGAAUGCGCAGAUAUCAGGAGGAACACCGGUGGCGAAGGCGGCUUGCUGGGCCAGUUCUGACGCUGAGGAGCGAAAGCGUGGGGAGCGAACAGG